UGGCCAGUACAGAGGGCUGCGAAGCCGUAAGGUGGAGCGAAUCCCUUAAAGCUGGUCUCAGUUCGGAUUGGGGUCUGCAACUCGACCCCAUGAAGUCGGAGUCGCUAGUAAUCGCAGAUCAGCAACGCUGCGGUGAAUACGUUCCCGGGCCUUGUACACACCGCCCGUCGCGUCAUGAAAGUCGGUAACACCCGAAGCCAGUGGCCUAACCUUUUGGAGGGAGCUGUCGAAGGUGGGAUCGGCGAUUGGGACGAAGUCGUAACAAGGUAGCCGUACCGGAAGGUGCG
rnacentral:rRNA from 2 species